rnacentral:rRNA from 1 species
UGAGGAAUAUUGGUCAAUGGGUGCAAGCCUGAACCAGCCAUCCCGCGUGAAGGACGACUGCCCUAUGGGUUGUAAACUUCUUUUGUAUAGGGAUAAACCUACCCUCGUGAGGGUAGCUGAAGGUACUAUACGAACAAGCACCGGCUAACUCCGUGCCAGCAGCCGCGGUAAUACGGAGGGUGCAAGCGUUAUCCGGAUUUAUUGGGUUUAAAGGGUCCGUAGGCGGACUUAUAAGUCAGUGGUGAAAGCCUGUCGCUUAACGAUAGAACUGCCAUUGAUACUGUAAGUCUUGAGUAUAUUUGAGGUAGCUGGAAUAAGUAGUGUAGCGGUGAAAUGCAUAGAUAUUACUUAGAACACCAAUUGCGAAGGCAGGUUACCAAGAUAUAACUGACGCUGAGGGACGAAAGCGUGGGGAGCGAACA